rnacentral:ncRNA from 1 species
GCAAAGGUUGUGAGAAAGAGGAGUACGCAAAACACCCCUGUCAGAGAGGGCAGUUUAUAAGCUGGAAGACUGUCUCAGGAAAGCAUUGCGGAAGGUAGCUUUUGAACCGGAGAGCUGAACGAAGCGAGGAAUCGGUUUCAGUAGGUUUUCCCGGCCCAUCCCCGUUACAGGAUUUCAAGAUGUGCUUUUCAUACAGAGUACAAAUAAAGGUGGUACCGCGAUAAGUCGCCCUUUAC